UACGUAGGGUGCAAGCGUUAAUCGGAAUUACUGGGCGUAAAGCGUGCGCAGGCGGCUUUGCAAGACAGAUGUGAAAUCCCCGGGCUCAACCUGGGAACUGCAUUUGUGACUGCAAGGCUAGAGUACGGCAGAGGGGGAUGGAAUUCCGCGUGUAGCAGUGAAAUGCGUAGAUAUGCGGAGGAACACCGAUGGCGAAGGCAAUCCCCCGGGCCUGUACUGACGCUCAUGCACGAAAGCGUGGGGAGCAAACAGG
rnacentral:rRNA from 1 species